AAAACUAGCCAGUCUUUUGGGUAUGAAACCCAUUUGGGCGAGAGUACUAGGAUGGGUGACCUCCUGGGAAGUCCUCGUGACAGGGUUUC
rnacentral:rRNA from 1 species